rnacentral:rRNA from 1 species
UACGAAGGGGGCUAGCGUUGCUCGGAAUCACUGGGCGUAAAGGGUGCGUAGGCGGGUCUUUAAGUCAGGGGUGAAAUCCUGGAGCUCAACUCCAGAACUGCCUUUGAUACUGAGGAUCUUGAGUUCGGGAGAGGUGAGUGGAACUGCGAGUGUAGAGGUGAAAUUCGUAGAUAUUCGCAAGAACACCAGUGGCGAAGGCGGCUCACUGGCCCGGUUCUGACGCUGAGGCGCGAAAGCGUGGGGAGCAAACAGG